rnacentral:rRNA from 1 species
UGCCAGCCGCCGCGGUAAGACAGAGGGUGCUAACGUUGCUCGGAAUUACUGGGCGUAAAGCGCGUGUAGGCGGGUUGGCAAGUCGGAUGUGAAAUCCCUGGGCUCAACCCAGGAACUGCAUUCGAAACUGCCAGCCUUGAGUAGUGGAGAGGGAAGGCGGAAUUCCGGGUGUAGAGGUGAAAUUCGCAGAUAUCCGGAGGAACACCAGUGGCGAAGGCGGCCUCCUGGACACUUACUGACGCUGAGACGCGAAAGCGUGGGGAGCAAACAGGAUUAGAUA